UCUUUUUACUUCCUGAAUGACACAAUAUCGGUAAAGAAAUCUGAGAAAUUUGUUAGGAAAAUACGAAACCGGUUAGUUGUCCAAAAACAAUAUCACUACACACAAAAUUUUAUAACAUUUUCCUAACAUGA